ACGGAAGGCAGCAGUGAGGAAUAUUGGUCAAUGGACGGAAGUCUGAACCAGCCAAGUAGCGUGAGGGAUGACUGCCCUAUGGGUUGUAAACCUCUUUUGUCGGGGAAUAAAGUGUGCCAUGUAUGGUAUUUUGCAUGUACCCGUCGAAUAAGGAUCGGCUAACUCCGUGCCAGCAGCCGCGGUAAUACGGAGGAUCCGAGCGUUAUCCGGAUUUAUUGGGUUUAAAGGGAGCGUAGGCCGUGCUUUAAGCGUGUUGUGAAAUGUAGGCGCCCAACGUCUGCACUGCAGCGCGAACUGGAGCACUUGAGUACGCAGGAAGUAGGCGGAAUUCGUCGUGUAGCGGUGAAAUGCUUAGAUAUGACGAAGAACUCCGAUUGGGAAGCCAGCUUACUGUAGCGCCACUGACGCUGAUGCUCGAAAGCGUGGGUAUCGAACAGGAUUAGAUACCCUGGUA
rnacentral:rRNA from 1 species